rnacentral:tRNA from 1 species
ACCACCCCGAUCCCUCUGAGCUUGAGGGUGCGUAAAUUCGAUGCCUUAGAUUCC